AGAUACAGAAUGUCAAUGUACUUAGUGGCCAGGAGGAUGUUUUGGCUGGAAAAGGAAGCUGCAAUGGAUAACUUGAGCAAGCUCAUUCUCAUCUCUUGAGAUCCCAGAGGUGCCAACAUUUGAAAGCCAAACCCAGCAAUGUUUUUGGCUAGAAAAUAAGAACAUACUUCUGUACAUAUCUGGUUUGGUGAGUUUUUGGCAAGAUGGGAUGUUGAACUGCUCCUGUGAGUACACACCCAGGAGGUGUGCCACAAACUGCUUGCUGACCUUGCUUUGUCUUGAACUAGAAAGAAACUUGCACUUGAUGAUUGUUGUGAUAUAUAUUGAAAAGGCCAGGAUCAUCCAGCCUCUUAUGCAGACAUGUAAACUAAGUGAAUGACAA